rnacentral:rRNA from 1 species
GAUGAACGCUGGCGGCGUGCCUAAUACAUGCAAGUCGAGCGAACGGACGAGAAGCUUGCUGCUCUGAUGUUAGCGGCGGACGGGUGAGUAACACGUGGAUAACCUACCUAUAAGACUGGGAUAACUUCGGGAAACCGGAGCUAAUACCGGAUGAUAUUUUGAACCGCAUGGUUCAAAAGUGAAAGACGGUCUUGCUGUCACUUAUAGAUGGAUCCGCGCUGCAUUAGCUAGUUGGUAAGGUAACGGCUUACCAAGGCAACGAUGCAUAGCCGACCUGAGAGGGUGAUCGGCCACACGGGAACUGAGACACGGUCCAGACUCCUACGGGAGGCAGCAGUAGGGAAUCUUCGGCAAUGGGCGAAAGCCUGACGGAGCAGCGCCGCGUGAGUGAUGAAGGUCUUCGGAUCGUAAAACUCUGUUAUUAGGGAAGAACAUAUGUGUAAGUAACUGUGCACAUCUUGACGGUACCUAAUCAGAAAGCCACGGCUAACUACGUG